rnacentral:rRNA from 1 species
AUUGAACGCUGGCGGCAGGCCUAACACAUGCAAGUCGAGCGGAGCGGCGGACGGGUGAUUAAUGCCUAGGAAUCUGCCUGGUAGUGGGGGAUAACGUCCGGAAACGGGCGCUAAUACCGCAUACUAUCAGAUGAGCCUAGGUCGGAUUAGCUAGUUGGUGGGGUAAAGGCCUACCAAGGCGACGAUCCGUAACUGGUCUGAGAGGAUGAUCAGUCACGCUGGAACGGAGACACGGGCAAGAAGACGAAGGGAGGCAGCAGUGGGGGAGAUGGCACAAGGGGCGAAAGCCUGAUGCAGUGACGCCGCGUGGGGGAUGAAGGCUUUCGGGUUGUAAACCUCGUUCGCUAGCGAACGGGUAGGUGGAGAAGAAGCGCCGGCUAACUACGUGCCAGCAGCCGCGGUAAUAC